rnacentral:rRNA from 1 species
GACUCCUACGGGAGGCAGCAGUGGGGAAUAUUGCACAAUGGGGGAAACCCUGAUGCAGCCAUGCCGCGUGUGUGAAGAAGGCCUUCGGGUUGUAAAGCACUUUCAGUAGGGAGGAAGGUAGUGUAGUUAACACCUGCAUUUAUUUGACGUUACCUACAGAAGAAGCACCGGCUAACUCCGUGCCAGCAGCCGCGGUAAUACGGAGGGUGCGAGCGUUAAUCGGAAUUACUGGGCGUAAAGCGCAUGCAGGCGGCCUGUUAAGUCAGAUGUGAAAGCCCGGGGCUUAACCUCGGAAUUGCAUUUUGAAACUGGCAGGCUAGAGUCUUGUAGAGGGGGUAGAAUUUCAGGUGUAGCGGUGAAAUGCGUAGAGAUCUGAAGGAAUACCAGUGGCGAAGGCGGCCCCCUGGACAAAGACUGACGCUCAGAUGCGAAAGCGUGGGGAGCAAACAGGAUUAGAUACCCUGGUAG